rnacentral:rRNA from 1 species
GGCGAACGCUGGCGGCGUGCUUAACACAUGCAAGUCGAACGGAAAGGCCCUGCUUUUGUGGGGUGCUCGAGUGGCGAACGGGUGAGUAACACGUGAGUAACCUGCCCUUGACUUUGGGAUAACUUCAGGAAACUGGGGCUAAUACCGGAUAGGAGCUCCUGCUGCAUGGUGGGGGUUGGAAAGUUUCGGCGGUUGGGGAUGGACUCGCGGCUUAUCAGCUUGUUGGUGGGGUAGUGGCUUACCAAGGCUUUGACGGGUAGCCGGCCUGAGAGGGUGACCGGCCACAUUGGGACUGAGAUACGGCCCAGACUCCUACGGGAGGCAGCAGUGGGGAAUAUUGCACAAUGGGCGGAAGCCUGAUGCAGCAACGCCGCGUGCGGGAUGACGGCCUUCGGGUUGUAAACCGCUUUCGCCUGUGACGAAGCGUGAGUGACGGUAAUGGGUAAAGAAGCACCGGCUAACUACGUGCCAGCAGCCGCGGUGAUACGUAGGGUGCGAGCGUUGUCCGGAUUUAUUGGGCGUAAAGGGCUCGUAGGUGGUUGAUCGCGUCGGAAGUGUAAUCUUGGGGCUUAACCCUGAGCGUGCUUUCGAUACGGGUUGACUUGAGGAAGGUAGGGGAGAAUGGAAUUCCUGGUGGAGCGGUGGAAUGCGCAGAUAUCAGGAGGAACACCAGUGGCGAAGGCGGUUCUCUGGGCCUUUCCUGACGCUGAGGAGCGAAAGCGUGGGGAGCGAACAGGCUUAGAUACCCUGGUAGUCCACGCUGUAAACGGUGGGUACUAGGUGUGGGGUCCAUUCCACGGGUUCCGUGCCGUAGCUAACGCUUUAAGUACCCCGCCUGGGGAGUACGGCCGCAAGGCUAAAACUCAAAGGAAUUGACGGGGCCUCGCACAAGCGGCGGAGCAUGCGGAUUAAUUCGAUGCAACGCGUAGAACCCUACCUGGGUUUGACAUGGAUCGGGAGCGCUCAGAGAUGGGUGUGCCUCUUUUGGGGUCGGUUCACAGGUGGUGCAUGGCUGUCGUCAGCUCGUGUCGUGAGAUGUUGGGUUAAGUCCCGCAACGAGCGCAACCCUUGUUCACUGUUGCCAGCACGUUAUGGUGGGGACUCAGUGGAGACCGCCGGGGUCAACUCGGAGGAAGGUGGGGAUGACGUCAAGUCAUCAUGCCCCUUAUGUCCAGGGCUUCACGCAUGCUACAAUGGCUGGUACAGAGAGUGGCGAGCCUGUGAGGGUGAGCGAAUCUCGGAAAGCCGGUCUCAGUUCGGAUUGGGGUCUGCAACUCGACCUCAUGAAGUCGGAGUCGCUAGUAAUCGCAGAUCAGCAACGCUGCGGUGAAUACGUUCCCGGGGCU